rnacentral:rRNA from 1 species
AUGGUAUUAGAGCCUACCUCUUCCACAUCUAUGUCAUCUUCCUCCUCAAGCUCUGCCAUGGCUUCCUCCCUUGCUGCGCUAGGACACACCAUCACAGAGAAGCUAGCUAGGGACAAUUUUUUGGUGUGGAAGGCCCAGGUCCUCCCACACGUGCGCGCCGCUGGACUGAUGGGCUACUUAGAUGGCACCACGGUCGAGCUGCCCACCGUUUUGGUCUCGGAGCAGGAUGUCUCCGGGAAGAAGGAGCUCUCAUCUGCUCCCAAUCCUGAUCAUGCUGUUUGGUACACGCAGGACCAGCAGGUCCUCACUUUUCUCCUUGCCUCUCUAUCACGGGAGGUUCUCCUUCAGGUGCACUCGAUCACUUCCUCUGCAGGAGUCUGGGCGGCCAUCAUACAGAUGUUCGCGUCCCAAUCCAGGGCGCGUCACAUCCAGCUUCGUGGACAACUCGGCAACACGAAGAAAGGAGACUCGUCCGCUGCCCUCUUCUUCUCCAAGAUGAAGGGCUUCGCCGACGAACUGGCGGCGGCCGGGAAACCUGUCGACGAUGAUGAUCUAGUCUCCUACAUCUUGCAGGGGCUGGACUCGGAUUACAACCCGUACGUCGCAGCUCUCUCCACCCGCACCGGGACUGAUCAGCAGAUCGGUCUCACGGAGCUCUACUCGCUGCUGAUCACAGCAGAGGCGCGCCUCGAUGUGCAGAACGGCGGCAAUAGCAACAGCUACUCCAUCAACCUUGCCUCCAAGGGUGGCCCCCGCAACAACUCUGGCCGUCCUACUGGUGGCAGCUAUGGUGGGGGCGACACCUCCAACAACUUCUCCAACAAUGGUGUCGUCCAAUCUUCAGGAGGAGGGGGUGCUGAGAAGUGUCAGAUUUGCAAACAUGAAGGGCAUGCUGCAUGGCGCUGCUACAAAUGUUUUGACAAGACCUUCAACCCCCCUCCCAAGCGACAAGGCGGCGGCAGUGGCAACGGCGGCGACGGCAAGAAAUCUGCCAACGCUGCUGCUGCCUCCUAUGGUGUCGAUACCAAUUGGUAUCUCGACACCGGAGCCACUGAUCAUGUGACCGGCGAGUUAGAAAAGCUUGCUGUUCGUGACCGCUACACCGGACCGAAACAAAUCCACACUGCGAGUGGUCAAGGCAACGGGGGGCACAAUUCUUCACGGUCCGAGUAA